rfam:Fusarium oxysporum Fo5176 contig02884, whole genome shotgun sequence.
ACAUACGACCAUACCUACUAGAGAACUCGGGAUCCCGUCUGAUCUCCCAUAGAUAAACUAAUAAGGGGCGGAUUAGUAGUUGGGUCGGUGACGACCAGCGAAUCCCCGCUGUUGUAUGUC